AACCUUAUGGACCUGCGGGCGUAUACCUGCGGAGGGAUCAUUACCGAGUUUACAAAACUCCCAAACCCCUGUGAACUAUACCUGUCACUGUUGCUUCGGCGGUACCGACCCCCCGGGAAACCGGGACCAGGCGCCCGCCGGGGAUCCUAGUAACAUCUUGAAUCUUCUAUAUAAUAUGGCAUCUUCUGAGUGGUGGGAAAAAAAUGAAUCAAAACUUUUAACAACGGAUCUCAGAUCGGA
rnacentral:misc_RNA from 1 species